rnacentral:snoRNA from 1 species
AGCCUCCUGGUGCUUAGCGCAGGCUGUGUUUUUACACUGACUACAUAGAAAGAGUAGGAAAAGUAAACCUACCCCUAUACACCUCAGUCCAGGCCCUGUGCCUGGUCUGUAUUGUAAAUGGGGAGAUAUGG